rnacentral:rRNA from 1 species
AUACGUAGGGUGCAAGCGUUGUCCGGAAUUACUGGGUGUAAAGGGUGCGCAGGCGGAUCUGCUUGUCGGAGGUUAAAGACCUCGGCUUAACCGAGGGGGUGCCUUCGAAACGGCAGAUCUUGAAUAUGAGAGAGGAUGAUAGAAUUCCUGGUGUAGCGGUGAAAUGCGUAGAUAUCAGGAGGAAUACCAGUGGCGAAGGCGGUCAUCUGGCUCAUCAUUGACGCUCAGGCACGAAAGCGUGGGUAGCGAACAGGAUUAGAUACCCUGGUAGUCCACGCCCUAAACGAUGUAUGCUUGGUGUUGGGAGUUUACUUCCAGUGCUGAAGGUAACCCGAUAAGCAUACCACCUGGGGAGUACGAUCGCAAGGUUGAA